GUAACUGCCUGUUGUGUGACGGUAUAGGAGAAGAAAGCCCCGGCUAACUACGUGCCAGCAGCCGCGGUAAUACGUAGGGGGCAAGCGUUGUCCGGAAUUAUUGGGCGUAAAGCGCGCGCAGGCGGUUAAUUAAGUUGGGUGUUUAAGCCCGGGGCUCAACCCCGGUUCGCAUCCAAAACUGGUUGACUUGAGUGUAGGAGAGGAAAGUGGAAUUCCACGUGUAGCGGUGAAAUGCGUAGAGAUGUGGAGGAACACCAGUGGCGAAGGCGACUUUCUGGCCUAUAACUGACGCUGAGGCGCGAAAGCGUGGGGAGCAAACAGGAUUAGAUACCCUGGUAGUCCACGCCGUAAACGAUGCAUACUAGGUGUUGGGGGAU
rnacentral:rRNA from 1 species